rnacentral:tRNA from 1 species
GGGGGAUGUACCCAAGUG